GCGAGCACCUUUUCAAGUUCACAACUAUUGUAAAGAACUAAUGGAAACUCAGGGGGGGAAAGCGAGUUAAAAUCAUGGUCAGUGAUCUUAAGGUCGGAAAGUCUAGGAAAGUGCCAGAGUUUCCGACUUGGAAUUCCGAGUCCGAUGACAGUUCAAAAUGAUUUUUCCCAGUCAGAGCUAGUUUUUUUUGGCUAGUUUUCAGUCGUCAAAACGCACUGAAGGUGGAAGUCUGAGAUUUCAUAGUUCCCAGUUGUUUUGAACCUCGGCAUAAGUUAUUGGCGCUCCUGGCUCUUAGUACAAAACAGUGGUUCCUUUCCUGUGCGUUGAUGAACAGAAUGUGUCAAGACCUGACCCUCAGAGCCUACCUUCCGUUGAUCCUGUUGGUUCAUCAGUAGGGAAGAUUUGUUUCUCUUUUGGUCCAUUCAACAACAGAGCAAUACGAACCUUGUUUCAGCAGGAUGUUGUAUCUAUACCUUAUGUCAUGCCUUAUUGGAAUGGAUUUAUUGAUAAUAUCUCUGGUAAAAAAAUGUUUGGAUGUUGCCACACACAUACAUACUUGUUAACAAAAUUAAGGAAGUUUCCCUUAAAAUUAUUCAUAAAUAUUAUCCUGCCAACCACUAUAUGAAUAAGUUUAAGGAAAACAUCAACUCAAAUUGCUCCUUUUGUAAUGACCACCCAGAAACAGUGUUGCAUCUUUUUUGCAUUGCAUUCAUGUAAGAAAACUGUGGCAAGACAUCAGUAGAUUUAUAAUUGAACACAUUUAUGAAGAUCUUACACUAUUGUGGAGAGAUGGACUGCUUGGAUUCUUUACCUACGAUAGAAAUAAGCUGAAACAUUUUAUGUAAUUAAUUUCUUUAUUCUUUUGGCAAAAUUUCAUAUUCACAAAUGUAAAUUGAUAAACAAAAAAAACACUUUCUUACCUUAAAAUACAGUUCUUUUUUUUGUAAGACAAUUAAAUACUCUACUAACAAAAAAGCUGUUAGAAUUAUUAAUGUAUGUAUGUCCCUUAAGGUCCUUGUUUAAUGUGAUAUUGUACCCCCUAGCCCAAUUGUCCAUUGUAUAUUAUUCAUAUAUACUUGUGUUCCCACAUGUACUUCCUGUAUUGGUUUGUUGUUAAUAAAAAAUAAAAUUAAAACCAUGCAGAUUACAAAAAAAAACAUGCAGAUGACGUCACCGACUUGGCGGUUUUAAGAUGGCCACGCCCUGUUGGUCAGUGAGAAGGUUUACAAAUUUUUUAUUUACAUAUGCAAGUUUUUGCAAUUAUGCAAGUUUUUGCAAUUUUAGGGAUUGGGACAUGCUUGGUGAUGUAUUGGGUUAUUAAAAGGACCCUUACUUCAUAAA